AGGAGAAGAGUGCAGGGGGAAAAAAUCAAUCCCAGCUCUGCCGGAGGGUCCAGAGAAACACAGAGCAGAAGGAAAGAGGACAAGAGAGAUGGAAACAUGGAGCUCAGAGGGAGGAGAAAGAAGGGGGGACUCACGAAGAUGUAAGGGAGAAAAGGC